rnacentral:rRNA from 1 species
UUUUUCUUUCACCGGAGCUUGCUCCACCGAAAGAAAAGGAGUGGCGAACGGGUGAGUAACACGUGGGUAACCUGCCCAUCAGAAGGGGAUAACACUUGGAAACAGGUGCUAAUACCGUAUAACAAUCGAAACCGCAUGGUUUCGGUUUGAAAGGCGCUUUUGCGUCACUGAUGGAUGGACCCGCGGUGCAUUAGCUAGUUGGUGAGGUAACGGCUCACCAAGGCAACGAUGCAUAGCCGACCUGAGAGGGUGAUCGGCCACAUUGGGACUGAGACACGGCCCAAACUCCUACGGGAGGCAGCAGUAGGGAAUCUUCGGCAAUGGACGCAAGUCUGACCGAGCAACGCCGCGUGAGUGAAGAAGGUUUUCGGAUCGUAAAACUCUGUUGUUAGAGAAGAACAAGGAUGAGAGUAAAAUGUUCAUCCCUUGACGGUAUCUAACCAGAAAGCCACGGCUAACUACGUGCCAGCAGCCGCGGUAAUACGUAGGUGGCAAGCGUUGUCCGGAUUUAUUGGGCGUAAAGCGAGCGCAGGCGGUUUCUUAAGUCUGAUGUGAAAGCCCCCGGCUCAACCGGGGAGGGUCAUUGGAAACUGGGGAACUUGAGUGCAGAAGAGGAGAGUGGAAUUCCAUGUGUAGCGGUGAAAUGCGUAGAUAUAUGGAGGAACACCAGUGGCGAAGGCGGCUCUCUGGUCUGUAACUGACGCUGAGGCUCGAAAGCGUGGGGAGCAAACAGG